rnacentral:lncRNA from 1 species
UUACGUCUUCCUCUCUGUGGAUUCUACCUAAUAAAUACAAAGGGCUGUAGAAGCUCAGGGCCCUUGUUCCCUAGAAGCAAGGAGCCCUCUGACCCCUUCUUUAAAACAGAUCUUUUUGUCUUCAUUUCUGCAUUUGUCCUUCUUCAUUCAGUCCCGAACCGACAGCCACAAGUGGCGCCCGAACAGGGACGUGAGUGAAGAAGGUCUGCUGGAGCAGAGAAAGUGAAACUGACCAGAAGAAUGAGAAACCCCAGGACAAGUCUGCUGGCAGUGGAUAUAAGGAGAUGGACAAUCCGUGUGGGUGCCCUCAAGGUGUGUGUGACCAUGGAACGGGAGACUGGAGAAAUCCAUGGAUCUCAACUGUGGGCCCAGCUCCUCCAGUACGAGCCAUGAGCUAGUUGAAUCUGAAUGCAAAGACAGAACAAGGACCGACUGGAGUCACACUGACAUCAACCCCCAUAAAAUGGGGACAGCUCAAGAAAACCACACAGGAAGCUGAGAAACUGCUGGAGCAAAACCCCUGACUCCAUGUUUAUGGCCAUGCUAGCUGUAAUAUCCUGUGCGGUAUGUUUUCCCUGUGCAGAGGCAAAAACUUAUUGGGCAUAUAUUCCUAACCCACCAGUAGUACGACCGGUACUCGGGAGCAACACUCCUCCUGAGAUAUAUCAUGAUCAGGGAGCAUGGACACCAGGACCCCUAACUCCCCCUGACAGAGAGUGAUUAGAUUCUCAGAACAAUGGUAUCAAUUAUACUGCACCAUUGGAGGGACUUCUUUAUGUGUCACCCAGGAUGCAUCACUCAACCGCAGUUGCCUUGCAAUUCAGUCCCAAGCAUGCUUGAGUUACCAUGGAAAAAUUAUGUACCUAUUAGGCCUUAGCUCUAUUAAUAUUACUGGUGUAGUUACUAAUCACUCCUGGCCCCAUCACCCAAAUUGUAUUGAUUGUACAGAAUGGGCUCCCUUUGAUAAUUCUCACCCCUGUCCUUGGACUCAGUGUCUUGGCCCCUUAGCUAAACAACAGUCCAUGUUAAUGGGAGACAUUAUCGACUGGGGUCCCCAUGGUCAUUUAGAUGGGAGAAGUGAGAAUCAGACCUCAUGGCAUAAAUUUUGCUGGCACUGGUGGCGAAACUUGAACAUCUCUUCGCUACAUCCCAAUCUGCUACACAACUUGCUUGGCACAGAAUGGGCUUUAGCCCACCUUUGCCUCAAUGGCAUUAUCAAGGAAAGAGAGGUCCAAUUCAGGAGUCAAUAUGGAAGACAGCACUCCCAUUUAUGAAUGGCAGCAUUUGGGUUGGGACACUAUCCAAUAAUAGUAAUAAUGCUCAAUGCAGUUUUAAUGUUACCUUUGUAGAAAAUACUACCACACAGUUUACAAUUUGUAUUUUUAAUCCGUAUGUUUUUCUAGCAGCAAAAAAGGACCAACUCCGGGUAAACAAUGCCCAAUCGAUUUGUGAUGCCUGUCAACUGUAUCAUUGCCUUAAUCAUAGCACAAUACAAACACACAGCAUAUCCACCCUAAUAAUUCUAGGUCACAUUCCUGGAUUAUAGAUUCCUGUAAAUCUGUCCGAGCCUUGGGAGGCCACCCCCGCUUUACAUUUUGUAAAACUCCUUCUUAUUCAGCUUACUCAUCGUGCUCGUAGAGCUUUAGGCAUGAUAAUUUUUGCUAUAAUUUCCCUAGUCACACUAAUAACCUCUGCUGUGUUGUCCUCAGUAGCACUGCACAGCUCCAUUCAAACAGCUCAAUGUGUGAAAAAUUGGAUGUGCACAGCCGACCAGGAAUGGAUGCUUCAAAAUAAAAUUAACACCAAGAUACAAACAGAAGUGGCAAUGUUAAAGACUACUGUUCUGUGGCUAGGAUAACAAAUACAAAGCCUGAAGUUGCAGCAGCAAUUGCAUUGUCAUUUUAACCCUAUUCAUAUUUGUGUAACUAAUUUGGAAUAUAAUCAAAGUGAAUAUCCAAGGAACUUUGUAAAGGCCCAUUUACAGGGAGUUUUACAUUCAAUGUUACUUUUGAUAUUAAUGAUUCACAAAGUAAAAUCCUUAACUUGAAUAAGCAGACUCAAGUGCUUCAGCCCUCUUUAAAAGCUUGGGCAGAAUUCCAGCAAGGUUUAGGGAGCCUUAACCCUUGGACCUACUUCAAACAGCACCUCAAUGUCUUUUUUGUGAUUAUCGGAAUAAUGUUAUUAUGUUUCUGUUUUUUGUUCAUAGUCUGUAAAAUCAGCUGGACCACCAACCGGCAAUUGAGAGCUGCACAGCCUGCAAUUACCUUUAUUCAAUUAAUACAAAAACAGAAAAGGGGGGAGGUUGGAGGCCGAAAGAAUGAGGGUCGUGACCAACUCAGUAUACCACUGGAGGCUAUAUGAGCAAACAGCAAACUGUUCUCAUGAAUGCAGGAUGCUGGCAAGCUGACAACUGCAUCUGCCACCAGAAGGAAUGCUGAGGGCAGUCAUACCCCACGUGCAGUGUUCCUUGUGGUUAUCUAUAGGAACAUCUGGAGGCUGUUGUAUAAAGAAAGCAAUUAUGUGAGCCUGUGAUAAAUCAAGCAGCUGACCAACCAUUACCUCUUCCUCCCUGUUGAUUCUACCUAAUAAAUACAAAGGGCUGUAGAAGCUCAGGGCCCUUGUUCCCUAGAAGAAAGGAGCCGCCUGUCUCCUUCUUUAAAACAGAUCUUUUUGUCUUUGUCUUCAUUUCUGCAUUUGUUCUCUUUUGUUCAGUCCCAAACCGACAGCCAUAGGCCAGGAUGGUCUUGAUCUUUUGACCUCAUGAUCUGCCCACCUCGGCCUCCCAAAGUGCUGGGAGCCACCACACCCAGCCAAAGAUGCAGUAUUAAGUCAUAAUCGUGCAUGUGUGUAUGUGUGUGUUUGAAUAGACAGAGUCUCCCUCUGUCGCCCAGGCUGGAGGGCAGUGACAUGAUCAUAGAUUGCUGCAUACUCAAACUCCUGGGCUCAAGUGAUCCUUCUGCGUCGGCCUCCCCAGCAGCUGAGACCACAAGCACAUGCCACCACACUGGCUAAUUUUAAAAUGUUUUCUGUACAGGCUGGGCAUGGUGGCUCACACCUGUAAUCCCAGCAUUUUGGGAUGGUUGGCAGGUCCCAGAAGUUUGAGA